ensembl:snRNA U6 U6 spliceosomal RNA
GUGCUCACUUCAAGAGCACAUAUACUAAAACUGGAAUGUUACAGAGAAGAUUAGCAUGACCCCUGUGCAAGGAUAACAUGCAAAUUCAUGAAGAGUAAUAUAUUUUU